AUGGGAACGCGAAGAACCUUACCUACUCUUGACAUCCAGAGAACUUUCCAGAGAUGGAUUGGUGCCUUCGGGAACUCUGAGACAGGUGCUGCAUGGCUGUCGUCAGCUCGUGUUGUGAAUGUGGUUAAGUCCGCAACGAGCGCAACCCGUUAUCCUUUGUUGCCAGCGGUUAGGCCGGGAACUCAAAGGAGACUGCCAGUGAUAAACUGGAGGAAGGUGGGGAUGACGUCAAGUCAUCAUGGCCCUUACGAGUAGGGCUACACACGUGCUACAAUGGCGCAUACAAAGAGAAGCGACCUCGCGAGAGCAAGCGGACCUCAUAAAGUGCGUCGUAGUCCGGAUUGGAGUCUGCAACUCGACUCCAUGAAGUCGGAAUCGCUAGUAAUCGUAGAUCG
rnacentral:rRNA from 1 species